CAGCUAAUUGCGCGUCAAAUUGUGAACUGCAGGACACUUGAACAUCGACACUUCGAACGCACAUUGCGGUCUUCGGAUACUGUUCCUGGACCACUCCUGGCUGAGGGUCGUUUCAACUUCCACGACUGCCGGGCGUGCAAUGCACCGCUAGUACGGUGCUCGCCGAGGCAAAUAUAUGACCGUUCGCGAGACGUUCAUUCGACGUUCGUCCUGGUACAGCCCCGCACUUGUACGGUGGCGACAGAACGUCCGUUGUAAAGCUUAUCGCGUCGGUUUAAAUUAACGCCAAUAUAAUAAGGUUCGCGGCGAACAGCGUAUGUUGUAUUAUAUACGCCCGUCGGAACUCGACUGUGGUCGACGUGUCAGAGACGAAACCGAGGAUGAAAUGCUUGCAUAUUCGAUAUCCCGAGUUUUGCGUUGCGGGGAACGGGUGUCGUCGUAUUAGUCWAUGUUCGGUUUCAGUCAGCGAUAACAAACGUUGUUGUUGUACGACGACCACGAAGUCAGUCGUCUCCUUCGUUAUUAUGUCGCGAUCGAUAACUUACAUUGACAGACGACAGAUAGCCACGUUUAACCAACCGACGUCAGACCUAUCGGUUCGACAUUUGCAGCGGUAUAACUCUCGUCGCCGACCGAAGCGACGGAUAACCGCUCGAAUAACGGGCGUGCCGUUUGUGUGACCAAAGGCGUGUUUAUAAAUUUUAUGAACGCUUUCUUCUUUCGACGGGACACGUAUCUCUUAUGAGGACGUUAACGUCGCGUCGUAUAAGGAGGAAACGCGACCUCAGAGCAGGUGAGACUACCC
rnacentral:misc_RNA from 1 species